rnacentral:rRNA from 1 species
AUUGAACGCUGGCGGCAGGCCUAACACAUGCAAGUCGAACGAGUGGCGGACGGGUGAGUAAUGUCUGGGAAACUGCCUGAUGGAGGGGGAUAACUACUGGAAACGGUAGCUAAUACCGCAUACCAUCGGAUGUGCCCAGAUGGGAUUAGCUAGUAGGUGGGGUAACGGCGCACCUAGGCGCCGAUCCCUCGCUGGUCUGAGAGGAUGAACAGCCACACUGUAACGGAGACACGGUCCAGACCCGUACGGGAGGCAGCAGUGGGGAAUAUUGCACAAGGGGCGAAAGCCUGAUGCAGCCAUGCCGCGUGUAUGAAGAAGGCCUUCGGGUUGUAAAGUACUUUCAGCGGGGAGGCGUUACCCGCAGAAGAAGCACCGGCUAACUCCGUGCCAGCCGCCGCGGUAAUUC